AGUGAACGCUGGCGGUAGGCCUAACACAUGCAAGUCGAACGGCAGCACAGUAAGAGCUUGCUCUUACGGGUGGCGAGUGGCGGACGGGUGAGGAAUACAUCGGAAUCUACUUUUUCGUGGGGGAUAACGUAGGGAAACUUACGCUAAUACCGCAUACGACCUACGGGUGAAAGCAGGGGAUCUUCGGACCUUGCGCGAUUGAAUGAGCCGAUGUCGGAUUAGCUAGUUGGCGGGGUAAAGGCCCACCAAGGCGACGAUCCGUAGCUGGUCUGAGAGGAUGAUCAGCCACACUGGAACUGGGACACGGUCCAGACUCCUACGGGAGGCAGCAGUGGGGAAUAUUGGACAAUGGGCGCAAACCUGAUCCAGCCAUACUGCGUGGGUGAAGAAGGCCUUCGGGUUGUAAAGCCCUUUUGUUGGGAAAGAAAAGCAGCAGGUUAAUACCCCGCUGUUCUGACGGUACCCAAAGAAUAAGCACCGGCUAACUUCGUG
rnacentral:rRNA from 1 species